rnacentral:lncRNA from 1 species
GGGAAACCCAUUUUCCCCAGAGGAGCACCACCAGGUCAGUGGGUGCACAAUAACAUGUUACAAGAUCCCUGGAGCUCAGCAGGAGGUGCUGAAUUUUGUUGUGGAGCUACACCAGGUAUGUUUUAGCAUAUACAUAUUUUGCCAUGUUGUCUAGGUUGAUCUGUAAAUAAUAUGGG